ensembl:lncRNA
CAGCCCCCAGACGCCCGCGUUGCAGUCGUCUGCACUCCAAAGCACCGCCUGCCGCCGGCUGCUAUUCCUCCUUUUAUGUAUAUCGAUUAGCUCAAUUACUGCCCUUGGCACACGUUCAUCUUGCAGAACUGCAAGUGAUUUUUUAACCCAUGCUUUUAAACCGCAGUUUCCCUUGGCAGCAUAUUUGGGUGAUUGUUUUAAAGUAGUCUGACAUCGUCUAAGACCUGUAUAAGUCACUCGCUUCAGUACAUGCAAGAUUGAAGCUGCACUUGUACGAGAAAACUGUUUUUGGGAACGAUGAAACUUGUAGGAGACAUGAGUGCAUUCACUUCUGAAGGAAGUAUAUAAAGGACACUGAACAAAAGCAUCUUGAAAAGGAAAUUAAAAGGUAAAGCUCUUCUUCAGAAAGAGGACGAAACCUUGCAUCUGUCUGGUUAGGGAGCACAGGCAGAAGAAUAGCAGAACAGCAGAUUUCUUCCCCUGCUUUGACACCGUGCUUCUACACACCUGACCUCGAGAAAUCAUCCUCUGGAUGGCACAGCAGAUCAGUCCCUGGAGCUGAUUGUUCACUGCUUGGCCUGCAGAGCUGACCCAGAGGGCCCUGGCUGGGGCUGGGACACCUCCUGCUCCUUUCACAUCAGCCACCAAAGCACAUCAGGUUGGACAUUGCUUCCAAGAGAGGGCAGCAAACAAGCACAGAAACCACACACUUCGUCUUACAUGUGAAUUUAUUCCAAGGGAUCAUUAGUACAGAACCUCUGUAUCUCACUGUAAUUAUGUUUGAAGCAUUUAACUUGCUGCCAAUUCAUUCCCACUCCAAAACAAGCCUCUGGUUUGUUCCAUUCUCUUUGUGUUUUCUCUCAAACAAAAGAAAUGAGCCAAAACUUUUGCGGAAUCAUUUGAAAGCAAUUGCUGCGAUGUGAGAGCGUGAUCAGACACACCAAAGGCUGCUCUGGUGUCAGUGCAGAAGGAACAGAUUCCACCCUGCAUUCCCACUCCUGCAGCUUGCAGGGUACCUACAGCAUGUAAUGAACAAGGACA